GACGAACGCUGGCGGCGUGCUUAACACAUGCAAGUCGAGCGGUAAGGCCCUUUCGGGGGUACACGAGCGGCGAACGGGUGAGUAACACGUGGGUGACCUGCCCUCAGCUCUGGGAUAAGCCUGGGAAACCGGGUCUAAUACUGGAUAUGACUCCAUGACGCAUGUUGUGGGGUGGAAAGCCUUGUGCGGCUGAGGAUGGGCCCGCGGCCUAUCAGCUUGUUGGUGGGGUGAGGCCUACCAAGGCGACGACGGGUAGCCGGCCUGAGAGGGCGACCGGCCACACUGGGACUGAGACACGGCCCAGACUCCUACGGGAGGCAGCAGUGGGGAAUCUUGCGCAAUGGGCGAAAG
rnacentral:rRNA from 1 species